GGCGUGCCUAACACAUGCAAGUCGAGCGGAAAUUUCAAGAAGUACUUGUACGGACAGAAAUUUUAGCGGCGGACGGGUGAGUAACACGUGAGCAAUCUGCCUUUUGCUGGGGAAUAACAUUGUGAAAACAGUGCUAAUACCGCAUGGCAUCCGACCGGGGCAUCCCGGACGGAUCAAAGGAGAAAUCCGGCAGAAGAUGAGCUCGCGUCCGAUUAGCUAGUUGGUGAGGUAAUGGCUCACCAAGGCGACGAUCGGUAGCCGAACUGAGAGGUUGAUCGGCCACAUUGGGACUGAGACACGGCCCAGACUCCUACGGGAGGCAGCAGUGGGGAAUAUUGGGCAAUGGGGGAAACCCUGACCCAGCAACGCCGCGUGAAGGAUGAAGGCUUUCGGGUUGUAAACUUCUUUGAUCAGGGACGAAAAAAAUGACGGUACCUGAAAAACAAGCCACGGCUAACUACGUGCCAGCAGCCGCGGUAAUACGUAGGUGGCAAGCGUUAUCCGGAUUUUACUGGGUGUAAAGGGGCGUGUAGGCGGGUCUGCAAGUCGGAUGUGAAAUUCCCGGGCUUAACUCGGGCGGG
rnacentral:rRNA from 1 species